rnacentral:lncRNA from 1 species
CUAAUACCUCCCAUUGGCCGGCGUGGCAGAGCAGCAGCUCUGGCGCUAGAGGGAACCUGGGCUGCUCUAGCUGGGGGAGAGCCGGGUCUCUGGUUCUAAUCACUUGAAUCUGACUUCUGGGAAAACUGGCGUCCAGGGACUCCCCCCGGAGACCCAUAAUCUUCUUGGGGCGACCUCAGAAUCAGGUAUGGACACCGACAUUCCAACCUUCUUUCCUUCUUCGGCGCUCCUGAAGUCUCCACGGCGACGCUGCGUUCCCGACUCGGAGCCCCCAGCUCCGCGCGAGCAGCUAGCCGGGCUGGCUCUCGGUGUGUGCCCUUCGGAUGGUCUGCUGAAGAGGGCCGCCAGCUGGACUUCUGUAGACAAGACAGAUACUGUAAAGACAGCAAAGAACAAACAGAAUGGCAGAUUGCUAAUGUUUGAUCCAAACGAAAAAGUGAUGAUUGAAUCAAACGAAGCAAUGUCAGAGUAAGAAGAUGU